rnacentral:rRNA from 1 species
GACGAACGCUGGCGGCGUGCUUAACACAUGCAAGUCGAACGGAAAGGCCCUGCUUGCCGGGUACUCGAGUGGCGAACGGGUGAGUAACACGUGGGUUAUCUGCCCUGCUCUUCGGGUUAAGCCUGGUAAACUGGGUCUAAUACCGGCUAGGAGCCAUUUUUAGUGUGAUGGUUGGAUAGUUUUUUCGGUGUAGGAUGAGCUCGCGGCCUAUCAGCUUGUUGGUGUGGUAAUGUCCUACCAAGGCGGCGACGGGUAGCCGGCCUGAGAGGGUGGACAGCCAAAUUGGGACUGAGAUACGGCCCAGACUCGUACGGGAGGCAGAAGUGGGGAAAAUUGAACAAUGGGCGCAAGCCGGAUGCAGCGACGCCGCGUGGGGGAAGACGGCCUUCGGGUUGUAAAAGCAAUUCGCUAGGGACGAAGCUUUUUGUGACGGUACCUAGAUAAGAAGCACCGGCUAACUACGUG